GAUGGUCUCUACAGAUGUUGAUGCAAUGUGAUUUCUGCCCAAUAUCUGAAUGUUAAAGUGAAGAAAUUCAACCAAGCACGGGUAAACGACAUGAGUAACUAUGACUCUCUUAAGGUGUCCAAAUGCCUCAUCAUCUAAUUAAUGAUGCACAUGAAUGGAUUAACUAGAUUCCCACUAUCCCUAUAUACUAUCUAGCGAAACCACAACCAAGGGAAUGGGCUUGGCAUAAUCAAUAGGGAAAGAAGACCUUGUUGCGCUUGAAUCUAGUUCGAAUUUUUGAAAUGAAUUGAGAGGUGUAGAUUGAGUGGGAGUAUUUUUCAGCACAAAUGAAAUACCACUACUUUUAACGUUAUUUUACUUAUUCUGUGGGGCAGAGACAUGGAAUUUACCCUAUUUUUGGCCUUAAGACACAUUUCAAUGGGUCAAUCUGGGCAGAAGACAUUGUUAGGUAGGGAUUUUGGAUGGGGCAACACAUAUGUUAAAAGAUAACAUAAAAUAUGAUUGGUGUAGAUAGAACAUUUGUAUUUGGGAGAUCCUAGUGCACAACCACCAUU
rnacentral:ncRNA from 1 species